rnacentral:rRNA from 1 species
UACGUAGGGGGCGAGCGUUAUCCGGAUUCACUGGGUGUAAAGGGAGCGUAGACGGCCAUGCAAGCCAGGAGUGAAAGCCCGGGGCCCAACCCCGGGACUGCUCUUGGAACUGCGUGGCUGGAGUGCAGGAGGGGCAGGCGGAAUUCCUGGUGUAGCGGUGAAAUGCGUAGAUAUCAGGAGGAACACCGGUGGCGAAGGCGGCCUGCUGGACUGCAACUGACGUUGAGGCCCGAAAGCGUGGGGAGCAAACAGG